AAUAAUUAAGUGUCUCACUUUAUCUAAAAGAUUGUUACGUUUUGAAUUUAUUUUAUCCGCCUCAACCACCUUAUUCAGCUUAUAUUUCUUUCAAAUAUACACCCUACCUAAACCAAAUCAAAUCAUUUUAGCUUCUUUUAUAAUUCAAACAUUUAAAAUAUCCGUGUUGAUCAGAUCUAAAUCGUGGACAAGAUUUUAAAAACAGAUUUUGUAGAUACGAUUUUGUUUAAGUAGAUCCGGAAAUAUGUACAUUUCUUCCUCUACAAGUUUGAUUAAAUACCUGGAUCAGUUAUUAUUAUGAUUAUACUUACAGGAUUUUCUCUAAUAUACUUUAAUUGGUUUAGUAUUAACACUUUCGAAUAACAAAGGUAAUAUUCCUUAUUCUCUAACCUACGAUUUUGGAUAAUCAGUGGAAUAAUAUUCCUUAUUCCACAAAAUAAUAUUUUUGAUCAAAUCUUGAAACUAAGAUGUCCUACAUCUGCGUAACCUAAAUCCGCUGUCCCACCUAACUAUUAUAAAUAUAGUUACACUUAACCACGAUUUUUAUCAAAACUAAAGAUACAGAAACACAAUGGCGAACAAUCCGCAGCUAAUUUUUUUGAACGAUAUUAAACCCCGCAAGACUGCAUGUCGCAUUCAAGUGAAGAUCAUUCAUACAUGGAGACAUUUCAUGAAAGACGUUGGAGAAUCUCUGGAACUAAUCCUAUGUGAUGCAAAUGUAAAUUUUACGUUCUAUAAAGAUUUGUUAUUUAUUUUGUUAAGAUACAAUAUAACUAAUAUAAUUCCUUUUAUCAUUUCCAAGGGAACAAAAAUCCAUACUUCAUGUAACAAGACUUACAUUUCUGAAGUUGGCAAACAUGUUCGUGUUGGAGUAUGGAGAAACAUUGAUCGUUUCAGUGUUAGUGCUGCUGGUGGAGCGUACAGAUCAACUGAUCAUAAGUAUCGAUUAGCUUUUAAUGGCAACACUAAAAUCACGGAAUCUACAUACCGUGAUGACAGUGUGUUCCUUAAUCUGGUUGAAUUCAAAUCCAUAGAGAGUGGUCUUCUUAAUCCCAACUUUCUUAUUGGUACGUUUUCAAAUUAUUUAUUUCUGAUCUAACCCAAUCAUAUAUACUUAACUAACACCUAAAUUUAUGGAUCUAGAUGUUAUUGGACAAGUUCAAGACUUGGGUGAACUCGAAACCAUAGGGUGUAAUGGUGGAAAACAAAGACAGAAGUUGGAGUUUUCACUCGUGGACAUUUGGUAAGUCAUGCUUGAAUUUAACGUUUGUGGUACAUGAUAAUUGAUAUUAAAACUAUAAUUGAUAUAUUUUGCUUAUAUCUUUUUAAAAUUUUAUUUAUAGUUAAUAUAUAUAUAUAUAUAUAUAUAGUAGUGUGCAACAAUCUUUCCAAUACCAACAUAUAUAUUUAUACUUCAUAAUUUCUACACUAUUAAACAAAGAAACAUCAUUUUUAUAAACAUUUCAACCAAAUUUCAAAAACACAUGCUUGAUCACAUCAAUAUAAAUCAUGAUGACUCUAAUCUUAAAAAAAUUAUAUGAACACAAAAUAAUGAUCAAUUUUAAAUUUUAUUUUUGCCGGAAAAAAAACCUGCGCUUUCUAAGCGCGGGUCAAAAUCUAGUUAUGCAUUAUUUGGAUAUUAUAUAAUUAAAAAUCUUAAAAUGUCGUUAAAAAUGACUUGCAUCAUUUUCCGAGGUUACGUAAAACCUUCAAAUUCUUUUUUUUAUGAUUUAAAUAUUACUUCUUCUAUUUCAUAUUUAAUUGAUGUUUUAAUAUUUUACUUUUGUUUCAAUUUAAAUGAUGUUUUAAUAUUUCUAAAAAAACAUAAUGUUAUCUGGUAUUUUUGACCAUUCGUAUUUUAUUGAAUAAUUUUUAUUGGUUGGAUUAGGUUCUAUUAAGAGAAAUUUCUUAGGAUAGACCUAAAAAAGUUUUUAUCACAAAUAUAGACUCCAAAUAUCAAAAUGACCAAAAUGUUUUAUUAAAUGAUGUAUUUUUGGGUUUAGGAUUUAGAAUUUAGGGUUUAGGGUUUAUGAUUUAGGGUUCAGGGUUUAGAGUUAAGGGGUGGGGUUUUGCGGAUAUGAUUUCAAAUUUUAAAAACUAAAAAAAUAUUAAAAUUUUCAAAAUAAAAAAGUCUAUUUUGGUCAUUUUGUUUUUUGAGGUCUAUUUUUGUGACAUAAACUUUUUAAAAAAGUCUAUUUGAGAGAAUUACCAUUUUUUUUUAGAGAAUUGCCAUUUUAUUAAUGUAAAAUCAAUAAAAUUUUAUAAUUCCUUUAAUAAUUGUGAAAUAGAGGGAAUAUUGUUCAAAUUGUAUGAAAAUUCUUACAAGACAUUAAACAAUUAAAUAAUUAUAAAUAAAAUACUUUUGUCAGCAUCAGAAGUUUUUAUCUUUGUCAUGUUUCCUCAUUCUAACAUUGGAAAUUGUCAUUUUGACCUCUUCUUAUAAGAAAUAUAAAAACAUAUACAAAACUAUAGACUACAAUUUUUGGCAAUAAGAAAUAACACAUGGUAGACUUGUCUUAUAUCCAUCAAUAGAAUAAAAUGAAACUUUCUAUAUAAAUCUUUAUCAAUGUAUCAUGUUAUUUAUCUACGCCUAUUUUGGACUUUAUGGACUGACUAACUUAUCAAAUUAGCGGCCUUCAAUUUUCGUCACUAUCAACUAAUGGAAAAGUGAAGUGUUGUACACUUUGUGUAACAUUGGUAGAAUAAUUGAGAGAAAAGUGACAAGAACGAUAAAAAGUAUAAUAUUGUGUAACAUUGGUAAAAUCUCUAGAUAACUGACUGUACAUAUAUGUUCAGUUUCACCCUUGUAGAAAAUUAAAUGUUUUAUGCAUUUUAAGUUACUGUUUUAUACUGUCUCUUCUUUAACAAAAAAUCACUGUUUGUGUGUGUGUCCUCUUUUUACCUAAAAGUACAUCCCGACGAACAAGGAACAUAUGACUGAAAACGAUAAAGAAAACAUUGGGACAAAAUUUUUGAAAAAAUACAAACUACAUAAAAAUGUAAUCUAAAAACUUUGGAUGAAAAUUUUGAAAAAUAAUAUAAACUGCAUACAACUCUAUAAAUUAAUAUUUUCUAAAUUAAUAAAUAUAAUAAAUUAAUAAAGAUUACCUAUUUCGAAUUGAACUGAUUUAAAAUAUGACUCAGAACGAUAAAAUAAUAAGAUAAUAUAUUUUUAAUUUUUUUUAAUAUAUAGUCAAGUUAAAAGCAUAAAUUAAUAAAUCUAUAUAUGUAAAAUUUACAUAAGUAUCAACAAAAAUUUUGAUUGUGUAUUUUAAUCUAUUGGGUUCAAACCUAUUAUAAUUUCUCUACCGCUUUAAAAGAGAAAUUUUCUCAACAGCCUAAAGAAAGUAACUUUUUCAUCCGUCUGAAAAAGAUAGAUAAUCAUUAGAGUGAGAACAGUGGAUGAGAGAGAGGAUGAAUAUUUAGUAAUUACAAAUUCUUGUGAAAUUAUAUAUGUAAUUAUCAAAUUAACUUCUCCAAUAUAUAUUAUGCAUCUUCAUGCUUCUUCUUAUUUUCUCAUUAUCAUUUCAUUCUUUUAAUUAAACUUUUGCUCAUGUUUUCCUAAUUUUUUUUUACAUAUUUUCCAAAUAUUUAUUUUCUCUCUUUAAAUAGUAAUAUAAAACAUACAAUCAUGGAACCAAAAACUCAUCUUAGAAUUUUUUUCAAUCAUAACAUUACUUUAUUCACUAUAUUAUUUUACUUAAAUGCAAAACAUUUUUUUAAUCGAAGUUCUCACAUGUUCCGUUAAGUAUAAUCCGUCCAAUCAUCAAAGCCUACUUAUUUAUAAAACAUAUAUGAACAUUAUAAAAGAUUAAUAAUCAUUAUAGAUGCAACUAUAUUUUUAUAUGAAUAUAAAAUUAUUAUAUUGAUUUAUAUUAGUUGUUUGCUAUUCAUUAUAUUAUGUAGAAUAUAUAUAUAUAUAAUUCAUCAACAUUAUUACACUUUUUAUAGGUUUAAAAAUUAGCUACCAUUAAUUAUUAUUUGUAAUACCAUUUAGGUUUUUUUGGCAAGUGAUGAUAUUUAGUUUUAGACUUAUAUUUUAUUUUUGAUUUAAUUAAAAAUUAUAAUAAGGUUUCAUUCAUUAGAUUAUGUAGUUUCAUAUGAUUACGUAGUUUAUAAAUAAAAAAUAAUAAUUGAUCAAAUGUUAUUAUUGUUUAUGUAAUUUCAAUUAAUUACCAUAAAUCAUUAUUUAAUAUAACUUAUGAUUAAAAAAAUUCAUGAAUAAAAUGAAAUGAGUGGAAUAGAAUUUUAUUUCUUUAUUUCAUAUUUUUUCUUAUUCCACUAAUCUGCAUUUCAUUUUUCUAAUUUCAUUAAUGAUAUUCUUAAAAAUGAUAACCAGUUAUAGCCAAUAUAUCUGCGUCACCUUUUUGAUUUCGAACCAAAAUUGAUUAAAUAUCUGAAUGGGUUCAAAAUUUUAGUAUAUAGAGAACCAAAACCGAAUUCGAUCCAAAUCGAAGUAUUUCGGGUACCCGAAUGUGUCCAAAAUAGAUUUAUAUACCUAAAUAUAUUAAUUAUUUUAAGAUUUAAUGUAUAUUAAAAACCAUCCAAAAUAUAUAAGAUAAUUUUAGGUUGUCUAAAAUACUUGAAAAUAAAUACAAAUAGUCAAAAGUAAAUGUAUAAAAUAGCUAAAAUAUACUCAAAACACCAAAAAUACUUAAACUAUCUAUUGAUUCUCUAUCAAAAUAUUCAAACCAAACUACUUUAUAUGUUAAGUUUAGGUAUUUGACAUAUGUUAUUCAAAUUUAUAUGCAAUAUAUUAUUUUAUUUAUAGAUUUUGAUAUUUAAUGUAUAUAAUAAAUUUUAAAAUUUUUAAAAGUAUUUAAAUGGGUUAUCCGAACUCGAACCGAACCCGAACCAAAAUUUAGAAAUACCUGAAUGGAGCUGAAAUUUUUUACCCCGAAAACUCAAAAUUCGAAUAGACCCGUACGGAACCCGAAUGGAUACCCGAAUGCCGACUCAUAAUAAAUUCUUUGAAAAUCUUAUGGAUUAUUUUAGAAUAUCUUGUUAGUAAAGUAAACAAAAUAUCUCGUGAAUGGAUUGCACCCGAAUUUUAGUUGAAAGAUUUCAUUAUAAAUAUUUAAAUAUUAAAUGCAUUAAAUUAGAAGAGAAGAUAUUUUGUUAGUUGAUUGAAACAAUUUUUUGAUUGACAUGUUCCACUACAUAAAUUUAAAUAUAAAAUAUAUCUAAGACAAAAAAAAUCUAGAGAACUAUAAUAUUAAUAUAAUAAAUUAUUUGAAUAUUAAAUAUUGAUAAUUAAAAAAGAUACUCAUGAUUUGAUUGACAUAUAUUAAUAUAAAUAUUUAAAUACUAAAUGAUAAAUAAUAAAUAGUUAUAUUGAUAUUUGUCAGUUAUUGUGAAUAUUAAAAUGAAUAUUAAAAUCUCAUUUUUUAAUUUAUGCAACCAUAUUUGGUGAGCCAGUUUGUGUAGAUUCGUCAAAAUAGAUAAAUCUUAUUAAUUGUUUUGAUAUUCUGCAUUUGUUUAAGAAUUUUGAAUUACCAUUUAAUAUUAACUAUUCAUUUUAAUUGAUUUAAUAUUUAUUAAAUAUGUGUAUAUUCUGUUGGACUACUUUCUAAAUUAAUUGUUUGGUCGAAAUUAAUUAUAAUGAAAAACUAAAAUUAAGGAAUAAUAUGACAAUGUAUAACUUAUCCUUAUAGAAGAUACAAUAUAAGACUAAAAUGUAGAAGUAAUUAGUAGAAAAAACUGAAGUGUAUCAUGUUGUAAUAGUAUAGAUUCACUAUUCGGUAUAUUUUUAAUCACUAUCAAAAAUUAAAAACUUGGUAUACUAAUUAAGAUUUUACAAAAAAUCCUUACUGGAUUAAUAUAAAAAUCAUUGGAUUUUAAUAGAUUACUUGUUUUAAGAGUAGCAAGUAAAACAACUUGUAUUUUCAUGGAUUGAUUCAUCAAGUAGUUUAAUGAACCUUAACAAACAUGCAUAUACUUAAAAGUUGGUAUAUACAACUAUAGGUAAACCAAAUAGUAUACUUUUUUUGUGCAACUGGAUAAUUUAAAUAGAAAAGCUAAAAGGCCAAAGGUUUGUUUAGUACAAAGAUAGAUGGGAUUUAGCAAGCUUGUCAGCCGGUCCAUUAAAAGUCCGAGGGAUAAAUUCAAAACGAUAGAAAUUAGAAGUUAAAAAAAGAGAGAAAAUUAAGGAAUCGAUGUCGGAGAGAAUGCCGUGGAGUUUAAUCGUGCAUUUCUUUUCGUUGAUAGCUCGAAUAAGCUCUUGGGAAUCUGAUUGAAGGCAGAUGUUAUUGUAGUUGAGAGACGCUGCGUUAAGAAGUGCACUUUGAAUUGCGAGAGCCUCCGCCAUGCAAGGAGAGGAGACAUGAUGCAAGGUGAUACCUUUGCGGUGGUAAUAGUAUACUACCUUUACAAUUAAGGCACACCAGUUUCAACCAAAAUAGAAUGGUUAAUUAUCAUAUAGGAAAAUAACAUAACAAAUAAUUCAUUUGCGGUGGUAAUUGUACUUUAUUGGCUGGCAUCAAGUCAAUCGGUAUAACACAUAAUUCCAAUACUCCAGGUAGCGUUUAUACAUUUUGUUAUAAGAAAUAAAAACCCUAAUAACUCCAGAGAGGGUUUAUUUCAAUACACGUGGUGAUUACCAACAAUGCCAAAGACGUAUACAUCUAAAAACCAAGAGAUAAGUAUCACACAGUCUUAUACUCUUCCAAUAUUUGUAUAUUUUCAGAUUCAUAAUUUUGACUAAACAUAUUUGUUACUAGUUUAAAUAUAAUAAUAUAUACCAAAUUUUGAUUUUCAAAACGCGUAAUAUUUUAUGUUGUAAAAAUCGUAUAAAAUGUAACAAUUUUUUUUGUUAAAAACAGGAAAGUGGAUAAAUCUACCUCAUUUAAAGUCAUCUCAUUUAAAUACAUUCCAUGCAAAUUUCAAAUCUCACUCUACUCCAUUUAAUUUUAUUAAUUUUAAAAAUUAAUAUAUACAUGGUUGUCCAUUUGGAUCCAGGAACCAAUUUAGAUAUGCUUAAACUUUUAAAAUAGAAACGGCUAAAUUAAAUAAGUUAAAAAGGAAUUGAAUAGGAUAGUCUCUCCCUUGUUAAGAUGUCAGUGGAAAAAAAGUCUCUCCUCGCAUUUCAUUGUCUAAAUUCUUUUCUUUUUUUUUUGAAUAAAUUUUUGCAACCAAAUUCUUUUCUUACCACCAAAUUAUCACUGCUAGUCAUAACAUACAUCAAUAUUAAAAACAUUGGAGAGGGAUUAUCAUUAAUUACUGCCUAACACUAUAUAUAUGUUCCAGAGAAUCCUAUGAUAUAUGGUUCGUAUAUUUAUUUACAUAGUAUUGAAUGUCACAUUUGCAAUCUAGAUUGAUCGACGUUAUCAGAAAAUAAGUUUGUCAUUGAGUAAGAAGCCAAAAACAGUAGAGGCUUAAAUAGGUUGUGAAAAGGUAAGUGGUGCUACGAGAGUAAGCAAAUCUGGUCACUUCACUUUUAAUUGUAUCACUCUUCACAAAUUGAUAUUUGACUCUACGAAAAAGACAAUUAUGUUCUUUUUUUUUUUGAAAGAGGGCCUGACAAUUAUGUUCUUUCCAGGAAACAAUUUAAACAUUUAUAAUAUAGACAAUUAUGUUUUUCCAAUAAAGAUUAAAAUUAUUAUUUUGUUGUCACAAUGUCGAUAACCAUUUUUUGUUAAAUUUGAUUCAUUUGGAUAAGGAUCGAAUAAACACAUGGUGAAGUCGAAGGUACAAUACAUAUUCAACUAAAAUAUAUUUAACAAUCUAUAAUAGUUAGCGGUUAACAAAAAAAUACCAUGUGUCAACACAGAGUUUAAGAAUGGGACGGAGAAGAAAAACAUGUAUCGUUGCCACAACCUUUAAUCGUUGUUUUAUCUAUGAUUCCCGCUUCGGAAGCGUUCGGAAUCGCGAUGGAAUCAGGAUUCCAAAAAAGUUGAAUAUGGAAGCGCAGAGAAAGUUUUGAUUCCGGUUUGGAAGCGCCUGAUUGAAUAAAUCGGAUUCGUUCAAAGAUAUAAAGCUCUUGACAAAUACUCGCACUCGUUAAUUACUGAGAUGUAUAUAAUUUUCGUGUGAAAAUGUAGUUUCCACUUUCCAAGGUGAGUAAUGAUGGAGAAGAAGCAAUUAGAGUUUUCAAGUUACACGUAUUCUUAAACUAUAAAUUUUAUCUGAAUUUUUCUAUUAGCUAAAAUUAAAAGAAAAAUAAAUAUGGAUAUUAUGCUUUUCUCACCGGUCUAAAUAAACAAUAAUAUAUAUGCAUUUUUAUGAAAUUAACAUGAGGACAACUAAACAUUUGAAUAAUAUACUAAUAUUUUUUCCUUUACUUGAUAAAUAUAAUAAUAUUCACAUGAUAUAUAAUAUAUAUAUUACAAAAAAUUAACUUAAAUUUCAAUUUCAUUUUAGAUUUUGUACAUUAAAAUAUUAACACUAAAAUGAUACUUAUUCAGAUUAAUAAUAAAUAAUAAUAAUAAGUAUUGUUACUAUUAUAUAUAUAUAUAUAUUAAAACACUUCCAACACGUUUCCGCUUCCUAAAUUUUUAUAAAAUACCGAUUCCACGUUUUCAAACGCUUCCUCUUCCGAUUCCAUGUAACAUAGGCCACAACUCUUAACUAUAAAUCGAAAUACCGAAAAUCUUUACAGAACAUAAUCAACUUUCGGCUUCUUUAAAUCUAAGAGUAUCUUUAAUUUCCAUUGGAUCCUCAAAAUACAUAUACAUAUAUACAAAUAUUAUUCUUUAAUUAUAAAUAUUUUAAAACUACGAAAAAUCUAACCGAAAAUAUCUAAUUUCUCAUUUGGAAACUACAUUUCACCAUUUUAUAAAAUUAUAUCAAUACAUUUGAUUUAAUCAAACAUGGUUUGGAGCAAGAGAAAUGAACACUAUUUGUCCUAUAUUUCAUUUGUUUUCUUUCAAAUUAUUUUCUAGAUCAAAAUAUUAUUUUCUAAAAGUAUAUUAAAUGAGAAGAUCUAACAAUUUUUUUCAUGGAUAGAAAUUUAAAGAAAGAUAAAAUAUGUAUUUUGUUAUUUGCUGCACUUAUAUUUUUUUGUAGAGGACAACAUUGGCCCUUUCUAUUUUUUGUUCCUUCUUUUGUCCGAGCAAAAAAAAAACACUUCUCUUUAUGUCUCCUCUUUUUACAAUUACAUUUCAAUCACUAUUUUGACCAACAACCGCAGGCAAUAAACAAAAAAAAUAAAAAUUAUACUUGUGUAUAUAACUUAGGGCAAUUGUCAAUAAUAGCACCUUUUGAAGUUUAUGUCUCAAAAAUAGCA